rnacentral:rRNA from 1 species
GGACUACCAGGGUAUCUAAUCCCGUUUGCUCCCCUGGCCUUCGUGCCUCAGCGUCAGUAACUGUCCAGAGACUCGCCUUCGCCACUGGUCUUCCUUACGAUAUCUACGCAUUUCACUGCUACACCGUAAAUUCCAGUCUCCUCUCCAGUACUCAAGCGAGGCAGUAUCAAGUGCAGUUUCGGGGUUGAGCCCCGAGAUUUCACACCUGACUUACCCCGCCGCCUACGCACCCUUUACGCCCAAUGAAUCCGAACAACGGUUGAGACCUCUGUAUUACCGCGGCUGCUGGCAC